AACGCGCCACUUUCAUUUUGCGUACUCGUUCGAGAAGUCGCAUUUGGCUUCAUUCAAACGACAACGUGUCUUUGAAGUUCCGGAGGUUCGUAUACGUCGCUGAACAAACUCGCGAAGAUGUCAUAUGAGGCGUCAGUGACGAGUGCGGUCGUGACAGCCGCGCGGAACGUCGAACGCACACAAUGGACACGAACGACGACAUGGUGCAUGGACCAUCGAGUAGCCAACCUUCGUUCCUUGUCUUUGGCAUCCCAUGAGCAGUACCAUUCACUCGUGUCUACACAAGGUGGACUGCAUUCCUGUCGUCAGUGCACCUAUG
rnacentral:lncRNA from 1 species